AGAUUAAUGGUAAUUCUGAGUAACUAUGUUCUGCAGGAGGGUUAUUUUGUAGUCAUUCUGUUGAUCCUCUUAUGUUAGCUCUAAAUAUAAUUGCUCGGUUUGUAAUCAUUCUUUCUCAUAUAAUUACAAUGAAUAUAAUGAUUCCUACAAUAGAAAUUGUAGACCCAAUUCUUGAUACUACGUUUCAUGAUGUAUAUGCGUCUGGGUAGUCAGAGUAUCGUCGAGGUAUUCCUGCUAAUCCUAGGAAGUGUUGAGGAAAGAAUGUUAAAUUUACUCCAAUGAAUAUAAUUGUAAAUUGGAUUUUUAAUCAUGUAUUAUUUAUAGUUAAUCCUGUAAAUAGUGGAUAUCAUUGAAUGACACCUCCUAUAAUUGCAAAUACUGCUCCUAUAGAUAAUACAUAAUGAAAGUGGGCUACUACAUAAUAUGUAUCAUGUAAUACAAUAUCAAGUGAUGAAUUUGCUAAUACUAAUCCUGUUAAUCCACCAAUUGUAAAUAGGAAAAUAAAUCCUAGAGCUCAUAAUAAUGGUGGAUUGAACUUGAAUUUAGUUCCAUAAAAUGUAGCUAAACAUCUAAAUACCUUAAUUCCUGUAGGUACAGCAAUAAUUAUUGUUGCUGAUGUAAAAUAUGCUCGUGUGUCAACAUCCAUUCCUACUGUAAAUAUAUGAUGUGCUCAUACAAUAAAUCCUAUUAGUCCAAUUGAUAGUAUAGCAUAAAUUAUACCUAAUGUUCCAAAUGAUUCAAUUUUUCCUCUUUCUUGACAUACAAUAUGUGAAAUAAUUCCGAACCCCGGUAGAAUUAAAAUAUAAACUUCUGGGUUUCCAAAGAAUCAAAAUAGAUGUUGAUAUAGAAUUGGGUCACCCCCUCCUGCAGGGUCAAAGAAUGAUGUAUUUAAAUUUCGAUCUGUUAAUAAUAUAGUAAUAGCUCCUGCUAAAACUGGAAGUGAAAGAAGGAGAAGUAAUGCUGUAAUAGCUACAGAUCAUACAAAUAAAGGUGUUUGAUCUAAAGUUAUACUUUCUGAUCGUAUAUUAAUUGCUGUUGUAAUGAAAUUCACUGCACCAAGAAUAGAUGAUACACCUGCUAAGUGCAGUGAAAAAAUAGCUAGAUCUACAGAUGCACCCCCGUGUGCAAUAGCUCCUGCUAGAGGAGGGUAAACUGUUCAUCCUGUACCAGCACCAUUAUCUACUAUAGAAGAUGUAAGAAGAAGGGUUAGUGAAGGUGGUAGUAAUCAAAAACUUAUAUUAUUUAUUCGUGGAAAUGCUAUAUCUGGUGCACCAAUUAUUAGUGGAACAAGUCAAUUACCAAAUCCACCAAUUAUAAUAGGUAUUACUAUAAAGAAAAUUAUUACGAAUGCGUGAGCUGUAAUAAUAACAUUAUAAAUCUGGUCAUCCCCAAUUAGAGAUCCGGGUUGGCCAAGUUCAGCACGAAUAAGUAUUCUUAUUGAUGUUCCUACUAUUCCUGCUCAUGCUCCAAAUAUGAAGUAUAAAGUACCAAUGUCCUUAUGGUUUGUUGAGAAUAAUCAUUUUUG